CACGAGUGGCGAACGGGUGAGUAACACGUGGGUGAUCUGCCCUGCACUUCGGGAUAAGCCCGGGAAACUGGGUCUAAUACCGGAUAUGACCACAGCAUGCAUGUGUUGUGGUGGAAAGCUUUGCGGUGUGGGAUGGGCCCGCGGCCUAUCAGCUUGUUGGUGGGGUAAUGGCCUACCAAGGCGACGACGGGUAGCCGGCCUGAGAGGGCGACCGGCCACACUGGGACUGAGACACGGCCCAG
rnacentral:rRNA from 1 species